GGGGCUGUUUGGUUUUGACAGCAAAGUCAGUGGGGAUGUAAGCACGUCGAGGGUUGAAUAGUUUGCCUCGUAAAUCCCAAUGUUCAUGCCUAUAAAUGGCGAAAACAACAACUACGCCCUCGCGGCUUAGUAUUAGAUACUAAGUUUGGGCUGCUCUCGUGGGACACUUCGCUCAAUAGGAGAACACCAAGAGCAUCAGUUAACAAAUUGAGCCGAAAUGUGUGAUGCUUCUAAGCACGUUUUGUAAACAGAAGAUAAGUUGUCGUCCGGUACGCUUUUAGCCAAGACGAUAACCGACAAUCAAAUAAGAGCUAAACGUGUAGAAAACAUUUUUGCUGUUUGUUUGGACGGCGGUUCGAAUCCGCCCAGCUCCAC
rnacentral:tmRNA from 1 species